AUUGAACGCUGGCGGCAGGCUUAACACAUGCAAGUCGAGCGAGCGGCGGACGGGUGAGUAAUGUCUGGGAAACUGCCUGAUGGAGGGGGAUAACUACUGGAAACGGUAGCUAAUACCGCAUACCAUCAGAUGUGCCCAGAUGGGAUUAGCUAGUAGGUGGGGUAAUGGCUCACCUAGGCGACGAUCCCUCGCUGGUCUGAGAGGAUGACCAGCCACACUGGAACUGAGACACGGUCCAGACUCUUACGGUAGGUAGAAGUGGGAAAUAUUGCCAACUGGGCGGAAUCAGGAUGCAGCCAUGCCGCGUGUGGGAAGAAGGCCUUCGGGUUGUAAAGCACUUUCAGCGAGGAGGCGUUACUCGCAGAAGAAGCACCGGCUAACUCCGUGCCAGCAGCCGCGGUAAUAC
rnacentral:rRNA from 1 species